AACCUGCUGUGGAGAGGAGAUAAUAAUCUAGCAGAGGGUACAACUGAGGAUGGCGACUUCAGUCCAUGUGGCCAACCCAGAUGACCCUGAAAAUCGCCAGCAGGCCAUACUGGUGGAUGCUUAAUGGAUGCUCCACUGGAGUUGCUUAACCACAUGACCGCCCUAAGCAUGCAGGGAAGCUCCUUGCGAAAGAGGGGAUCCCCACACCGACGCAUCAGCAGUAUCUGGGGAAAAAUGGUCGUGCCAUUUGGCCAGUAUGAAAAUGUACCUUUUCACUGGCUUGUUUCAGUAAAGUAUAUUAUAUAUAUACAGGCAAGAACUUCCAUGCGUGACCCCUCAUCAUGGCCAGGUGAUGCUGCACUGUUAGAUGCAGGUCAGUCUGUGGAAGAUAUGCUCCCAAGAGCCACGGCAGUCAGAGCCAACUGUCAGAUCCAUGAAGUCCAAGUCCACUGUUCAUCCCCGGCAGUCUGAAUCACCAGCCACCACGCAGGAUCAUGUGACCCAAAAAGCUCAAUGAUGUUCAAUGAUACUGCAAUGCUGUGAUUUUUAAGCGUUGCCCCUUCCCCCCAAUAAAUCUAUUUUAAUAAAUAUAAUCAACACCUGGAGUAUAUAUUUUUUAAACACAGAUACUGUGUAGACUGCAGGUGAAGAAUGUCCCUCUGCUGAGCCAAAUAAAAGGCAAACCAUUAUCAUGAACACUGCAGCCUUUCACAAAAAUGGUCUAGUUCAAUGAUAUCAGAUAAUGUUGAACGUAUUGCAGAAGUUAUAAAUUUAAAAAUAACUUUUGGCACAAGUCCCUUCAUAAAGAGAUGUGAUUAAUGUAAAUAAAUC